GCGGCUGAGCGCCUCGGGAGCCCGCGGGGGAGGCUGCGGCGGGGGGCCCCGGGCUGAGGAGGCGGCGUCGGCGGCGGAGGCGGCUGCGACGGGACGUGGGCUGCGGCGGGCCCGCGGCGUCGGCCGGUGCGGAUGUCGUCGGGCUGGGCGGACGAGCGCGGCGGCGAGGGCGACGGGCGCAUCUACGUGGGCAACCUUCCGUCCGACGUGCGCGAGAAGGACCUCGAGGACUUGUUCUACAAGUACGGCCGCAUCCGCGAGAUCGAGCUCAAGAACCGGCACGGCCUCGUGCCCUUCGCCUUCGUGCGCUUCGAGGACCCGCGAGAUGCUGAGGAUGCGAUCUAUGGAAGAAACGGUUACGAUUAUGGCCAGUGUCGACUCCGUGUGGAGUUCCCCAGGACUUACGGAGGUCGGGGUGGGUGGCCCCGUGGUGCAAGGAACGGGCCUCCUACAAGACGGUCAGAUUUCCGAGUUCUUGUUUCAGAAAACUAUUAGGAAAUGGCUGCAGUCCCGAGCUGUGCGCAGCAAACACAGCCUUUGAGAGCAGGAGCACAUUUCCCUUUCAUGACACCAGGACUUCCUCCAUCAGGCAGCUGGCAGGACCUGAAAGAUCACAUGCGAGAAGCUGGGGAUGUCUGUUAUGCAGACGUACAGAAGGACGGAAUGGGGAUGGUUGAAUAUUUGAGAAAAGAGGACAUGGAAUAUGCUCUGCGUAAACUGGAUGACACCAAAUUCCGCUCUCACGAGGGUGAGACUUCCUACAUCCGAGUGUAUCCUGAGAGAAGCACCAGCUAUGGCUACUCACGGUCGCGGUCUGGGUCCAGGGGCCGCGACUCGCCAUACCAAAGCCGGGGCUCGCCACACUACUUCUCUCCUUUCAGGCCCUACUGAGGGGGUGGGAAGGAAGGGUCUCUUCAGUUUUUUAGAUGAGCUGGGCUACUUUGUGCUCAGAGUCUACAUUCCAGAUUGAUUAGAGUCUUAGGACAUUUUUUUUCUUUUCUUUCCUUUUAUUUUUAUUUUAUUUUAUUUUUUUUAUUUUAAGGAACUACAUAAUUUCGGCUAGAGCCACCAUACUAGCAGUGACCUGUUAGGCUGCAGAGAGAAGGUGUGUCUGUGGUUCAGGAACAAGCUGUACAUUUUUCACCCUGACUAUGGGACGGAAAUCAGUGCUGCAUCUUCAUGGGCUGCUCUGCUCGGAGAUGGGGCCCGAGGGGCCCGUUUUGUUCAGAAAUAUAUUUUAAAUGUUUAGUAA